rnacentral:rRNA from 1 species
CAUGCAAGUCGAACGAUGAUCUCUGGUUUUCGGAUCGGGGGGAUUAGUGGCGAACGGGUGAGUAACACGUGAGUAACCUGCCCUGGAUUUCGGGAUAACUGUUGGAAACGGCGGCUAAUACCGGGUAUGCACUUUCUGACGCAUGUCGGGGGGUGGAUAGGUUUUUUCUGGUCUGGGAUGGGCUCGCGGCCUAUCAGUUUGUUGGUGGGGUGAUGGCCUACCAAGGCGUUGACGGGUAGCCGGCCUGAGAGGGCGACCGGCCACACUGGGACUGAGAUACGGCCCAGACUCUUACGGGAGGCAGCAGUGGGGGAUAUUGCACAAUGGGCGGAAGCCUGAUGCAGCGACGCCGCGUGGGGGAUGGAGGCCUUCGGGUUGUGAACCCCUUUCGCCGGGGAAGAAGCGUGAGUGACGGUACCCGGGGAAGAAGCGCCGGCUAACUACGUGCCAGCAGCCGCGGUGAUACGUAGGGCGCGAGCGUUGUCCGGAAUUAUUGGGCGUAAAGGGCUCGUAGGCGGCUGGUCGCGUCUGCUGUGAAAUUCCUCGGCUUAACCGGGGGCUUGCAGUGGGUACGGGCUGGCUGGAGUGCGGUAGGGGAGACUGGAAUUCCUGGUGUAGCGGUGGAAUGCGCAGAUAUCAGGAGGAACACCGAUGGCGAAGGCAGGUCUCUGGGCCGUCACUGACGCUGAUGAGCGAAAGCGUGGGGAGCGAACAGGAUUAGAUACCCUGGUAGUCCACGCUGUAAACGUUGGGCACUGGAUGUGGGGGGUGUUUUGCCUCCCGUGUCGUAGCUAACGCGUUAAGUGCCCCGCCUGGGGAGUACGGCCGCAAGGCUAAAACUCAAAGGAAUUGACGGGGCCCCGCACAAGCGGCGGAGCAUGCGGAUUAAUUCGAUGCAACGCGAAGAACCUUACCAAGGCUUGAAAUGCAGGGAAAUCCUCCUGAGAGGGGGGGUGUCUUUUUGGCGUCUUGCACAGGUGGUGCAUGGUUGUCGUCAGCUCGUGUCGUGAGAUGUUGGGUUAAGUCCCGCAACGAGCGCAACCCUUGUCCCAUGUUGCCAGCGGUUCGGCCGGGGACUCAUGGGAGACUGCCGGGGUCAACUCGGAGGAAGGUGGGGAUGACGUCAAAUCAUCAUGCCCCUUAUGUCUUGGGCUUCACGCAUGCUACAAUGGCCGGUACAGAGGGUUGCGACGGCGCGAGCCUGGGCGAAUCCCUUAAAGCCGGUCUCAGUUCGGAUUGGGGUCUGCAACUCGACCCCAUGAAGUCGGAGUCGCUAGUAAUCGCAGAUCAGCAACGCUGCGGUGAAUACGUUCCCGGGGCUUGUACACACCGCCCGUCACGUCAUGAAAGUCGGUAACACCCGAAGCCCAUGGCCCAACCGUUUUUCGGGGGGAG